rnacentral:rRNA from 1 species
CCUACGGGUGGCAGCAGUGAGGCAUAUUGGUCAAUGGGCGGGAGCCUGAACCAGCCAAGCCGCGUGAAGGAAGAAGGCGCCAAGCGUCGUACACUUCUUUUGUCGGGGAACACAGGGCGCCACGUGUGGCGUGGUGAGAGUACCCGAAGAAAAAGCAUCGGCAAACCCCGUGCCAGCAGCCGCGGUAAUACGGAGGAUGCGAGCGUUAUCCGGAUUUAUGGGGUUUAAAGGGUGCGUAGGCGGUCCGGAGAGUCAGCGGUAAAAGCCCGGGGCUCAACCCCGGCGAGCCGUUGAAACUGUCGGACUAGAGACGGCGAGAGGUAAGCGGAAU